UGUGGGAGCGAGCUUGCUCGCGAUAGCGGUCGUUCAGCCACAUUAAUGCUGGCUUGGACACCGUCAUCGCGAGCAAGCUCGCUCCCACA
rnacentral:misc_RNA from 1 species